GACGAACGCUGGCGGCGUGCUUAACACAUGCAAGUCGAACGGAAAGGCCCUGCUUUUGUGGGGUGCUCGAGUGGCGAACGGGUGAGUAACACGUGAGUAACCUGCCCUUGACUUUGGGAUAACUUCAGGAAACUGGGGCUAAUACCGGAUAGGAGCUCCUGCUGCAUGGUGGUGGUUGGAAAGUUUCGGCGGUUGGGGAUGGAUUCGCGGCUUAUCAGCUUGUUGGUGGGGUAGUGGCAUACCAAGGGUUUGAGGGGUAGCCGACCUGGGAGGGUGACCGGGCACCAUGGGACUACGAGAGGGAGCAGAAGGCAACGGGACGCAACAGGGGGGAAUAUUGCGGAAUGGGCCGAAGUCUGAUGCAGCAACGUCGCGUGCGGAAUACCGGGCUUCGGGUUGUAAACAGCUUUCGAAUGUGACGAAGAGUGCGUGACGGUAAUGGGUAAAGAAGCAACGGCUAACUACGUG
rnacentral:rRNA from 1 species